GCCCGCGCCUCCAGAAUUCAGGCGGGGCGCUGGAAGUUGUGUGAGCAGGCCGAUGAGUGCUUGCUUACGUCGAGGGGAGCGCCAGCUCCUGUUUCUCGUGUACGGGGGAAGCCCGGGGAACAGCAGGGGCGUCUUGGCCCGGGCAGGGAAGCGGAAGUCAGCGCCGAAGCCGCGGCAGGAGGUCCUGCCGCCCCCGAGGCCGGUUCAGAUGUGCUCCUGCCCAAAACGCGAAAGUGAGGCUGGAGUGUGGCCUUGAGCGGCUUUCUGUAGAAGGCAGUGGCCAAGAGCGCACCUCGCUUCUGGCAAGAAAGAAACUGAGCGUUGUGAUGCCUGAAACAUCUCGUCCUCUGAGUCUUAAGAGGACCAGGCCCUGGGGAGAGGACCCAGCUGUGUGCCGUCACAUGCAGGGAGACCGGGAGGACCACCAAGACCAGCCUUCUCCACGCCUUGGCACCACCACCUCUCUUUUCAACUUCUUUCCCUUCGAAAACUAAACGGCAUUCUCUAGGCUGUGGGACUCCAUUUCCUGGCUCCCAGAAAUCCUUGGUGUGAGAACAGGCAGAGGAAUCUCCUGGGGUAUAGUUGGAAGGAAGGGAGUAAGCUCAGGGUUGGAUAACUUCCACGAGCAGAAUCUUAACCCUGCUGCACAAUGGAAUUAUCUGGGAGCUGUUAAAAAAACUGAGACCCUCAGGUCCAGGUCCAGAUUCAGUGCAUCAGACUUGCACAGAAUUUCCUUUGUUUGUUUUUUGGUUUGUUUUUCUGUUUUGUAUGACAAAGGUACUUUUGGUCACCAUUCCUGGGUGAUUCAGAGAUGCAACCAGGGCUGAGAACCACUGAUGGAAAAGCUGGGUGGCCUAGACACGAACACAGUCAAGGUCCCUGUGUGCU
ensembl:lncRNA